UACGAAGGGGGCUAGCGUUGCUCGGAAUUACUGGGCGUAAAGCGCACGUAGGCGGACUCUUAAGUCGGUGGUGAAAUCCUGGAGCUCAACUCCAGAACUGCCUUCGAUACUGGGAGUCUUGAGUCCGGGAGAGGUGAGUGGAACUGCGAGUGUAGAGGUGAAAUUCGUAGAUAUUCGCAAGAACACCAGUGGCGAAGGCGGCUCACUGGCCCGGUACUGACGCUGAGGUGCGAAAGCGUGGGGAGCAAACAGG
rnacentral:rRNA from 1 species